GAAAGCCAAAGCUGAGGCACUAGACUUCUUCACUGUUUCAAAAAUGUCUCUGUUUUCUUGUUGUGUCUCUUAUUUCUAGUAGUGUUGUUUUUCUUCAGGCGUUUAUGAAAUAGUGACAGCCCGUUAAAUAGUUUAAUCUCAGCUAGUGGUGCAUUUGCAAGUCAUGUUGUGCCAUAUACAGUGGACUUCAUAUACUACAGACCAAGACAUGGGUGCAGUUUCUUGAUUGCAGUGUUGUCUUCCAGAAUAAAGAUCCCUCUUCAGCCGUCUCCUUCAUGGGUGCACAUGGUUACCUCUGUACAGACCCAGGUACUGUUGGAUCCCACCCCUUCCCAUCAGUGUGCGGUGCAUAUGCAAGGCCAUUGGCAUACAGGAAUGCCUGUCUCUAAGGAAUAUGGCCUCCUGAUUGGCUACACAGACUAGGCUCAACUGCUUCAGAGCCCUGGAAAAUCCCAGGCAAGUUUUCUUUUGUUUCUAGUGAUAACUAUCAUUUAUAUUUCUAAACAGUAUUAAUUAAGAUUUGAUAUGACAUCGUGUUAUGGUGUUGUCCCAUGAAAUUACUAGUUAAUGUCUUUGGUUUUGGCAAACAUAAAAAUCGUUUUUAAGAAAUAAAAAGCCUCAU